UAAAUUGAGAGUUUGAUCCUGGCUCAGGAUGAACGCUGGCGGCGUGCUUAACACAUGCAAGUCGAGCGAUGAAGUUUCCUUCGGGAAACGGAUUAGCGGCGGACGGGUGAGUAACACGUGGGUAACCUGCCUCAUAGAGUGGAAUAGCCUUCCGAAAGGAAGAUUAAUACCGCAUAACGUUGAAAGAUGGCAUCAUCAUUCAACCAAAGGAGUAAUCCGCUAUGAGAUGGACCCGCGGCGCAUUAGCUAGUUGGUGGGGUAAUGGCCUACCAAGGCGACGAUGCGUAGCCGACCUGAGAGGGUGAUCGGCCACAUUGGGACUGAGACACGGCCCAGACUCCUACGGGAGGCAGCAGUGGGGAAUAUUGCACAAUGGGGGAAACCCUGAUGCAGCAACGCCGCGUGAGUGAUGAAGGUUUUCGGAUCGUAAAGCUCUGUCUUUGGGGAAGAUAAUGACGGUACCCAAGGAGGAAGCCACGGCUAACUACGUGCCAGCAGCCGCGGUAAUACGUAGGUGGC
rnacentral:rRNA from 1 species